UAUCUGUCGACGUCGAUGCAGUCAAAAAGUUUACGCUAAAGUUAGUUUGCUGAAGUCAGCUGAGGGUCUGGUUUACCAUCCUUUACCUGGAAGCUAUUGUGCUAUUUUUUGCCAACACAUUUUUCACUUCGAUAGACCAAUGUUCCAAAACAAAUGUAGCGGUCUUGUUAGCUAGAGCUAGGUAACUACCACGCUUGCCUGAAAUCGACUGCUUUGUGGUUGCCAGUGUCAGAAAGAGCCGUGGGUCUACAGGCCUAAACGUACAAAACACGACGAGUUGCAUUUUUACAGUCAUACCUACAGGCUUGUGUCCCAGCAUAGCAUGGAAAAGGCACACCUCCACCUCCUGGCUCCAUGUGACAGAGUCCUCGGCAGGAUAAAUCCCCGAAUCUUCAUGUUUCUCUUCUGUGGGAGACGCGUCAGCUUCACCCAUAACUCUUCUGCUCUGGUUGUCUCUCAUGGACUUUCCUGGGUCUGCCCUGAUGGCCCCAUGCAAUUGAUGUUUCAUAUGCAGUGCCAAAGGAUGGACAAGACUGUGCUCUCAGCCGGCCUGGGAAUUCAUUUGAAGAAUGAACAUCCAUUGGUGAUAAAUCAUAUUCCCGAAUGGAGUCCAAGAAAUAAUUGUUCCCUUUGAUUUAUAUUUUAUUUAUACUUCCAUAUUACAUUCAGUACAUACUUUAUAAUAGGCAAACAUCUUCUUGCUUACACAUUAUUGUAAAUGAAAUACAUAUUUAAUUAAACAGCUAUACAUAUGCAGUAAAAUAUCCAGUAUUAAUUCAAUGCUAAUAGAGUAAAUAUAGGGGACGAUAUGCACUCUCUAAGAGUUGGUUCAACACUGAACAUUUUACUGUGUAUGUCUG